CAGCCUUUAGAUGCGAUUUUAUGGAGUGUGAGGAGCUAAUCGCCUUCAUGCCAAUAUAUUCGUAUACUUGGGGUGUACUUAUUCGUGUGGUAAGUUAACAUCAAUUUUGGUUGUCAUAAAAUGAUUGGAGGAAUGUAGCUUCGAUCUCGUAUUGAAGUGUUAUAGCCUUUGGUAGAUGUGAUGAUCGGGAUUGAGGAUUGCAACGGAUACCCUUCGGGGCUACCUGUCUGAUCUCUGAUUGUUGCUCUGGUGCUGAAAGCUUGCUUAUAGUAUCAAAGUCGAUGGUCAAUAGGUUAGAAUGGGUUAAA
rnacentral:rRNA from 1 species